rnacentral:rRNA from 1 species
UACGGGGGGGGCAAGCGUUGUUCGGAAUUACUGGGCGUAAAGGGCUCGUAGGCGGCCAACUAAGUCGGAUGUGAAAUCCCCAGGCUUAACCUGGGAACUGCAUCCGAUACUGGAUGGCUUGAAUUCGGGAGAGGGAUGCAGAAUUCCAGGUGUAGCGGUGAAAUGCGUAGAUAUCUGGAGGAAUACCGGUGGCGAAGGCGGCAUCCCGGACCGACAUUGACGCUGAGGAGCGAAAGCUAGGGGAGCAAACAGG